GCCUGGGUGGCUCAGUUCGUUGAGCUUCUGACUUUGGCUCAGGUCACGAUCUCACUGUCUGUGAGUUCAAACCCCGCGUCGGGCU
rnacentral:tRNA from 1 species